rnacentral:rRNA from 1 species
GACGAACGCUGGCGGCGUGCUUAACACAUGCAAGUCGAACGGAAAGGCCCUGCUUUUGUGGGGUGCUCGAGUGGCGAACGGGUGAGUAACACGUGAGUAACCUGCCCUUGACUUUGGGAUAACUUCAGGAAACUGGGGCUAAUACCGGAUAGGAGCUCCUGCUGCAUGGUGGGGGUUGGAAAGUUUCGGCGGUUGGGGAUGGACUCGCGGCUUAUCAGCUUGUUGGUGGGGUAGUGGCUUACCAAGGCUUUGGCGGGUAGCCGGCCUGAGAGGGUGACCGGCCACAUUGGGACUGAGAUACGGCCCAGACUCCUACGGGAGGCAGCAGUGGGGAAUAUUGCACAAUGGGCGGAACCCUGAUGCAGCAACGCCGCGUGCGGGAUGACGGCCUUCGGGUUGUAAACCGCUUUCGCCUGUGACGAAGCGUGAGUGACGGUAAUGGGUAAAGAAGCACCGGCUAACUACGUG